AUUGUUCCUAUCAUUAAGUAAAUCUGUCAGGUACCCACCGAACCAAACAGUCUGCGCGCCAACUCCCCAAGAGAUUUCACUCCAGCUCUUGAAGAUACGUUGGCAAUCAUGAAGACUCUUUGUGUUAUUGUGCUUGCAGCGAUGAUUUUCGUGGUGGCAUCGCGCGUUCGUUAUCCUAAACUACCAGAGUCACUGCGGAGAGAACAGAAGACCAAUCAUAAAAUACGAAUGGAUGGAAGAGAGGCAAGGAAUUUUCUUUUGAAGAGAGAACCUGGUUGUCGCCAACCAUGUUUUCAAAACUGCCAAGCUGAAAACGAGAGUGAGGGGAUCCGAUCAAGCUGUAAACAUUGCUGUACAUAGCACGUACCCAACUCUGGGUUUUACACCUGUGGCGCAGACUCCGCAGAGUGGGUAUUUUACACCUUCCAAAACCCAAGAAACUAUAUUUAUUCAGUGUGACAGUGUGUGAAAGCGUGUUAUAUAUUCUUUCUUAUGCUUUUCAGAUAAUAUCUGACAGCUUUGAAAACGUCUGUAUCUCAGCUUUGAAAGAACAGCAUUUGUAUUAGAAGGACAGCAAAUAAAUGGUAUUAUUCUUCA